AUCCUAGUGCACGGGUUUUACACGUAUCAGUGAGGAGACAUCCGAGAUCGUGUUUUUGCUAGUUGAAAACUACCAAAUUGACUACUUCAAGUGAGCCUAAUCGCACGCUUGGGAAUUUUUGAAACCACACUG
rnacentral:snRNA from 1 species